rnacentral:rRNA from 1 species
AUUGAACGCUGGCGGAAUGCUUUACACAUGCAAGUCGAACGGCAGCACGGGGGCAACCCUGGUGGCGAGUGGCGAACGGGUGAGUAAUACAUCGGAACGUGCCCGGUCGUGGGGGAUAACGUAGCGAAAGUUACGCUAAUACCGCAUACGAUCUGAGGAUGAAAGCGGGGGACCUUCGGGCCUCGCGCGAUCGGAGCGGCCGAUGUCAGAUUAGGUAGUUGGUGGGGUAAAGGCCUACCAAGCCGACGAUCUGUAGCUGGUCUGAGAGGACGACCAGCCACACUGGGACUGAGACACGGCCCAGACUCCUACGGGAGGCAGCAGGGGGGAAUUUUGGACAAUGGGCGCAAGCCUGAUCCAGCCAUUCCGCGUGCAGGACGAAGGCCUUCGGGUUGUAAACUGCUUUUGUAUGGAACGAAAAGGCUCUGGCUAAUACCUGGGGCUCAUGACGGUACCGUAAGAAUAAGCACCGGCUAACUACGU